UACGUAGGGUGCAAGCGUUGCCCGGAUUUAUUGGGCGUAAAGGGCGCGUAGGCGGCUCGGCACGUCCGUUGUGAAAUCGCCCGGCUCAACUGGGCGGGGUCAGCGGAUACGGUCGAGCUUGAGCAAGCUAGGGGGCAAUGGAAUUCCCGGUGUAGUGGUGAAAUGCGUAGAUAUCGGGAGGAACACCAGUGGCGAAAGCGGCUACCUGGCCCAUUCUUGACGCUGAGGCGCGAAAGCUAGGGGAGCAAACGGG
rnacentral:rRNA from 1 species